AAAAAGUAAACCAUUGGUUUCCGUGCCAAACGUUUAACCGUCCGUCUUAUUUGAAAAAAUUAUAAAAAAAAUUAAAAAGACAAGUCACGCAUAAAAUAUUAAUCAUGUUUUAUCAUUUAGCAACAAUGAAAAUACGAAUUAUAAAAAAAUUUCAUAUAAGACGGACGGUCCAAGUUGAGCACGGAAACCCAUGGUUUGUCUUUUU
rfam:Oryza glumipatula chromosome 7, whole genome shotgun sequence.